GGCCAAGAUGAUGCUAGUGUUAGGGGGUUUCCGCCCCUUAGUGCUGCAGCUAACGCAUUAAGCACUCCGCCUGGGGAGUACGGUCGCAAGACUGAAACUCAAAGGAAUUGACGGGGGCCCGCACAAGCGGUGGAGCAUGUGGUUUAAUUCGAAGCAACGCGAAGAACCUUACCAGGUCUUGACAUCCUCUGACAAUCCUAGAGAUAGGACGUCCCCUUCGGGGGCAGAGUGACAGGUGGGGCGUGGGUGUCUCCACCUCUUGUCUCGAGAUGUGGGGUUAAAUCCCGCACCGAGCGCAACCCUUGAUCUUAUUUGCCACCAUUCUUUUGGGCACUCUCAGGUGACUGCGGGUGACAAACCGGAGGAAGGUGGGGAUGACGUCAAAUCAUCAUGCCCCUUAUGACCUGGGCUACACACGUGCUACAAUGGACAGAACACAGGGCAGCGAAACCGCGAGGUUAAGCCAAUCCCACAAAUCUGUUCUCACUUCGGAUCGCAGUCUGCGACUCUACUGCGUGAAACUGGAAUCUCUAGUAAUCGCGGAUCUCCAUGCCGCGGUGAAUACAUUCCCGGGGCUUGUACACACCGCCCGUCACACCACGAGAGUUUGUGACACCCGAAGUCGGUGAGGUAACCU
rnacentral:rRNA from 1 species